GAUGAACGCUAGCGGGAGGCUUAACACAUGCAAGUCGAGCGGCAGCACGGACUUCGGUCUGGUGGCGAGCGGCGCACGGGUGCGUAACGCGUAUGCAACCUACCUUAUGCAGGGGAAUAG
rnacentral:rRNA from 1 species